AUUUUUUUUUUAAGUUUACGUGUAAGAUUGAGUGCCUCUACAGCGUUUGAUGACAUGUCAAGUUCUGGGGGCUGGAAAAUAUAAGAAGCAAAGCCUUCCUAAUGCACUAGUAGCAGAGGUAAAUUUUAUAUGUGUAAUAAUCAGCAAAUAAAACAUGCUUUAGAGACCACCCAUCAUGGUACCCUUCUGGGACUGCCCUGGCCUUGUUUCCUUAGAAAGGAAUUUAGACAUAAGCAUGUUAGUGCCUGGGCGCCCACAUGCGUGUACACACAUACACACACACGCUCUGCAGAUGAAGAAAUCCAGGCUUCUGGGAGCCAGCGAGAAUUGCUCAAGAGAUGGACCCACGCAAAGUGGAGGGAGAACUUGGACGGCAAGUUUUCUGUCCUCUUCUUCAAUUAUUAAUUUGGUUUCUUUCCACUGACUCCCUUUUAAAAAAAAAAGUCUGUGUGUGUGUCUAAGAGGCCACUGUGAACUAGGAAGUCGCAGAGAAGGCGGCGGCUUCUAAGAUCCAGUGUUUCUCUCCUGGCAUUCCCAGCAACAUCCAGACCCAGCAAAUGACUGGCUAAGGGGAAUGGAGGCCUGCCGGGGUGUGAGGGUGGGGGCGUCGAGUACUUUCUAACCCGAGAAUGUGCUGUUGGUAUUUUCUCCCAGCAUAAAAUAGGGAAAAACUGGGAGUUGGCCUUCCUGCCAGUGUCUUGGGCUGAAAGCCAAGUACUUAAUCCUUUCUAUCAUGGCUCCUUCCUUUGAGAAACAGUUUUGAUUCGUUUUAAAGACAGGUUCUCGCUACGUCACCCAGGCUGGCCUUGAACUCACUACGUACCUGGAUUUCUUGACAGCUAACUAUGAGUACUGAAAACUCCAAGCAGUUUUGUGGCGGUGUGUCCCUCCCCUUAAAGAGUUAAUUAAGCAGCCCCGCGGCCUGCCCGAGAGAAACCCUAAAGAGGCGCCACAUUCUUGCAGGAACUCAGUCUGUCCCAGCUCAAACUGCCCUCCAGAUGAACAAGGUCCAGGUAAGUGGUGGAGCAGGCUCUCGAGCAGGAAGUGGAUGCUGUAUGCAAAUCUCUACGGAGAGGAAGCCUCUGCUCAGCAGUCUCCCCGUGGGGCAGUGAAUCAACCGCUGAGAACUGACUUUACUUCUUAAAACAGAAACCUCCCGCGUUUACCAGAGAGAACCAGCAGCCAAUUAGGCUGCAUCCUGCUUUUACCACACAGAUAAGAAAACUGUGAGGAAUGCCCCGGGCUUCUGGGUUACUGCGGCGGGCGCCUGAGAAGGCGUCUCUUGGAGACUGAACUUGAGUAUUCAGACUGCUGAUUCUUGAGCGCCUUCAAACGAAGAAACCUGGGCCCGUGCUCUACGGAAUUUAUUGCACAGACGGGGAUCCUGGAGGCAGAAGGAUGCCACGGUGGUGUUUAUGGGUAAUAUAAAUCCAGGUUACUUCCAAGGCAUUGGAGGGUGAUGGGAGCCAGCCCGCGUGUGAACUCCUUCAGGCCACCAGCCAGCAUCGCAGCCCCUGAACUCCCCCCUCCCCCACAGAAGGUGUCUCAGACUGAGCCAGUCCUGUCUCCCCAUUCGCACACACAGGGGACACCGCCCAGAAUGCCCUCAAUCAGGUUGCCCAAGUAUUACACGUAAAGUUGUGCCACACAUAAUAAGCAAAGGGAAUGUGGCUUGUUUUUAAAACUUUAGAAUAAAGGUGGUACAGUUGUUGGUGU